rnacentral:rRNA from 1 species
GACGAACGCUGGCGGCGUGCUUAACACAUGCAAGUCGAACGGUAAGGCCCUUCGGGGUACACGAGUGGCGAACGGGUGAGUAACACGUGGGUGAUCUACCCUGCACUUCGGGAUAAGCCUGGGAAACUGGGUCUAAUACCGGAUAGGACUCCGGACUGCAUGGUCUGGGGUGGGAAGCUUUUGCGGUGUGGGAUGGGCCCGCGGCCUAUCAGCUUGUUGGUGGGGUGAUGGCCUACCAAGGCGACGACGGGUAGCCGGCCUGAGAGGGUGACCGGCCACACUGGGACUGAGAUACGGCCCAGACUCCUACGGGAGGCAGCAGUGGGGAAUAUUGCACAAUGGGCGCAAGCCUGAUGCAGCGACGCCGCGUGAGGGAUGACGGCCUUCGGGUUGUAAACCUCUUUCAGCACCGACGAAGCGCAAGUGACGGUAGGUGCAGAAGAAGGACCGGCCAACUACGUGCCAGCAGCCGCCGUAA